rnacentral:SRP_RNA from 10 species
GCCAGGCCUGGUGGCACGUGCCUGUAGUCCCAGCUGCUCAGGAAGCUGAGAUAGGAGGAUUGUUUAAGCCCAGGAGUUCUGGGCUGUAGUGUGCUGUGCCAAUUGGGUGUACACACUAGGUUCAGCAUCAACCCGGUGACCUCCUGGGAGUGGGGGACCACAAGUUUCCUAAGGAGGGGUAAGCCAGCCUGGGUGGAAAACAGAGCAGGUCAAAUUUCCCGUGCUGAUGAGUAAUCAAAUCAUGCCUAUGAAUAGCUACUGCACUCCAGCCUGGGCAACACAGCAAGACCCUGUCU